rnacentral:rRNA from 1 species
CCCGCUGAACUUAAGCAUAUCAAUAAGCGGAGGAAAAGAAACUAACAAGGAUUCCCCUAGUAACUGCGAGUGAAGCGGGAAAAGCUCAAAUUUAAAAUCUGGGGGUCCCUGUGGCCCUCCGAGUUGUAAUCUAGAGAAGUGCUAUCCGCGCUGGACCGUGUACAAGUCUCCUGGAACGGAGCGUCAUAGAGGGUGAGAAUCCCGUCUUUGACACGGACUACCAGGGCUUAUGUGAUGUGCUCUCAAAGAGUCGAGUUGUUUGGGAAUGCAGCUCUAAAUGGGUGGUAAAUUCCAUCUAAAGCUAAAUAUUGGCGAGAGACCGAUAGCGAACAAGUACCGUGAGGGAAAGAUGAAAAGAACUUUGGAAAGAGAGUUAAACAGUACGUGAAAUUGCUGAAAGGGAAACGCUUGAAGUCAGUCGCGUCAUCCAGGGAUCAACCUUGCUUUUGCUUGGUGCACUUCCUGGUUUGAUGGGUCAGCAUCAAUUUUGACCGUUGGAAAAAGGCUGAGGGAAUGUGGCAUCUUUGGAUGUGUUAUAGCCCUCUGUCACAUACAAUGGUUGGGAUUGAGGAACUCAGCACGCCGCAAGGCCGGGUUUUAAACCACGUACGUGCUUAGGAUGCUGGCAAUAUGGCUUUAAUCGACCCGUCUUGAAACACGG